AGCGAACGCUGGCGGCAGGCCUAACACAUGCAAGUCGAACGAAGUCUUCGGACUUAGUGGCGGACGGGUGAGUAACACGUGGGAACGUGCCUUUAGGUUCGGAAUAACUCAGGGAAACUUGUGCUAAUACCGAAUGUGCCCUUCGGGGGAAAGAUUUAUCGCCUUUAGAGCGGCCCGCGUCUGAUUAGCUAGUUCGUGAGGUAAAGGCUCACCAAGGCGACGAUCAGUAGCUGGUCUGAGAGGAUGAUCAGCCACAUUGGGACUGAGACACGGCCCAAACUCCUACGGGAGGCAGCAGUGGGGAAUCUUGCGCAAUGGGCGAAAGCCUGCCGCAGCCAUGCCGCGUGAAUGAUGAAGGUCUUAGGAUUGUAAAAUUCUUUCACCGGGGACGAUAUGACGGUACCCGGAGAAGAAGCCCCGGCUAACUUCGUGCCAGCCGCCGCGGUAA
rnacentral:rRNA from 1 species